UUUCCCAGAUAGCAGAAGAUGUUAUUUCAACGUGGAAUUUUGAUUGAAAUGGUUGAUUUAUGGUGAUGGUUGAAAAUGUGAUGGUGAAUCAACCACUGAAGAAUUGAAAGUUGAAAAAAUGUCAUUGAAUCAACAUUGUAUUAUGGUGGGAUUUAAUGGUUGAAUUGCAAACAUUAGAUCAAUGUUUAUUCAAUGUUGUCAAACCGAUUAGGCGGGACGCAGGAGGAGUGGCGGGAACUGCUAGGUGAGACCAUUAAGAUGAGGGGUUUCAUAUAUUUUUUAUUAUUAUAUAUUUUUCGUUAAACACAAUGCUGUGGAAAAUUGAUUGUGAUGUUUCUUUUAACAUGUAUCUUAGGUUAUGUGUGUAACCUUUAAGAGAACAAAUAAAAAUAAGAAACCAAAAACAUAUCUCACCACUUGUUUGGAACAGUCCAUAUCAGUUUCUAGCUGCUACCGUUACCGUUACGUUACAGAAGAACUCCAGUGCCAUUUUGAGUGAAUGCUUUCCUCAUACCAACUCCUGCUCGAGGCAAAAUCCACUGUAUAUGGACUCGGACUCUGAUGAGCCAUCAAAUGAACCGAAGAAACCACGUCUUUCACGCCCGCCUGAUGUGAGAGUUCCAGCAGCAUGGUCCUCACAACUGGCAAGAAAUGAAACGAUGGCAGCAUCCGCCACUGCGCUGGGCCGUACCACCAGCUGCAGGUCCCACAGAGAGAGGGUACCAGUAUAUCACCAUAUGGUUCCGUGCACACCCUAUUUCGUGCCCCACAAUAUGCACAAAACG